CCGCCCGGGGGGGGUGCUAAUACAUGCAAGUCGAGCGGACAGAAGGGAGCUUGCUCCCGGAUGUUAGCGGCGGACGGGUGAGUAACACGUGGGUAACCUGCCUGUAAGACUGGGAUAACUCCGGGAAACCGGAGCUAAUACCGGAUAGUUCCUUGAACCGCAUGGUUCAAGGAUGAAAGACGGUUUCGGCUGUCACUUACAGAUGGACCCGCGGCGCAUUAUCUAGUUGGUGAGGUAACGGCUCACCAAGGCGACGAUGCGUAGCCGACCUGAGAGGGUGAUCGGCCACACUGGGACUGAGACACGGCCCAGACUCCUACGGGAGGCAGCAGUAGGGAAUCUUCCGCAAUGGACGAAAGUCUGACGGAGCAACGCCGCGUGAGUGAUGAAGGUUUUCGGAUCGUAAAGCUCUGUUGUUAGGGAAGAACAAGUGCAAGAGUAACUGCUUGCACCUUGACGGUACCUAACCAGAAAGCCACGGCUAACUACGUGCCAGCAGCCGCGGUAAUACGUAGGUGGCAAGCGUUGUCCGGAAUUAUUGGGCGUAAAGGGCUCGCAGGCGGUUUCUUAAGUCUGAUGUGAAAGCCCCCGGCUCAACCGGGGAGGGUCAUUGGAAACUGGGAAACUUGAGUGCAGAAGAGGAGAGUGGAAUUCCACGUGUAGCGGUGAAAUGCGUAGAGAUGUGGAGGAACACCAGUGGCGAAGGCGACUCUCUGGUCUGUAACUGACACUGAGGAGCGAAAGCGUGGGGAGCGAACAGGAUUAUAUACCCUGGUAGUCCACGCCGUAAACGAUGAGUGCUAAGUGUUAGAGGGGUGUUCCGCCCCUUAUUGCUGGCAGCUAACGCAUUAUACACUCCGCCUGGGGGAGUACGGUCGCAAGACUGAGACUCACAGGAAUAUGACGGGGGGCCCGCACAAGCGGUGGUAGCAUGUGUUUAAUUCUGAAGCAAACGCGGAGAACCUUACCAGUCUUGACAUCCUCUGACAACACUAGAGAUAUGGCUUUCCCUUCUGCGAAAGAUGACAGCUGGUGGCAUGAUGUCGUUCAGCUCUGUCGUGAAUGUUGGUAGUUACCGCACGAGCGCACCCAUCGAUCUUAGUUGCAGCAUUUCAGUUGGGCA
rnacentral:rRNA from 1 species